rnacentral:rRNA from 1 species
CCUUGUACACACCACCCGUCACACCAUGGGAGUGGGUUGUACCAGAAGUGGUUAGUUUAACCGCAAGGAGAACGACCACCACGGUAUGAUUCAUGACUGGGGUG